AUGACCGUGGAGGGAGAGACUGCAAGUACGGAUCAUUAGUAACUGCGGCGCCGAAGGAGCAAGCUACGAGCGAAUCUCUCAGGCACAAAAGACUUUCACGGGACG
rnacentral:ncRNA from 1 species